UUUCCGGUGAUUGAAAAAUACCUACAAAAUAUAUCUCAUGUAUGAGCUGUAGGAAAACCCCUUCUUUUUAAUUGUGAUAGUAGGUGGUAGAUAGGUACUGGCCAUUCUAUGAUCACAUAGUUUAGUCACCAGCAGAGAGUAGUUUAGCCACUUGCCAACAUCUCCAGAUCAACCUGCAGGUUACAUGUAUAUUUUAUUCUAAUUGCCAGAACGUCAUGAACCAUGAGUGCCUAGAAAUGUUAAAUGGUUUGUCAUCAACCUUAAUCUUCAUAAUAUAAAACGCAAUUAGAUCUGAUGGCUAAAGGGUAUUCAUUUUAGCUACGGAGAAGAAAUUACUGCUAGUGAUCUCAGCACACUGAACAUAUUCAAGCAGUUCUACGGUCUGCAACUUCGCAGCUUCUUCUCAACGAUAUAUAGUCACAUGCACCAUGGGCGAACACGAAGAGUUAACCAAAGAAAUGCUGGACGGAGAACUCUACGAGGCACAUGUCAGCCAUCCCGGACACAAACUACGUUUUUACUCAAAAGCCCCCGACCCUAAUUACGAGUGCUAUGGCUGUAAGCUACCAGGAGACACCAAUUCAUAUCUCAGGUGUCCAUACGAAAACUGUUCCUUCUAUCUUCACCGAGUGUGUUAUAAAUUCAAACCCUCGCACCCCCCUGCAUGGCACAAGUUCUUCCCCCACUGCGAGUUCUUAUUGUAUGAUGGUAUAACCGCUGAGGUUUCUGACCACAGCGGAGAUUUCUCGUAUUGUGAUGCAUGCGGAGAAGACAUAAGAGGGUUUAGGUAUCGGUGCAGGCCCGAUGAUGACUCUCAUCCGCAGGGGAAUCAUGAUGUGCAUCCCACUUGUUUUCAUCGAAAAGACGAUAUAACGAUGAAUUCUGGGGUCCGGUUAGAACUCAAAGACAAGGUGAAGUCCAGGUGUUUGUUGUGCAAGAAGAGGUAUCCUGCUGAGGAAUGCGUAGGCUUCACGGGAUGGAAAUGGGUUUCCGAGGAUAGGGAGUACUGGGGUUUUCCUUAUUGUUUUACUGGUACCAAGAUGUGCUUUCAUCUCAAAUGCCUGAAUGAAGAAUUGAGGAAGCAAAUGAAGUAAUGGCAUAAUAUUAGGAAAUAUUAAUGUGGCCAGACUGUCAAUAUUCGUUUACCUUGUUAAUUUGUGUACAAGUGGUCUCUCUCUCUUUUCUUUUACAAGUUGUGUACCGGUAAUCUGUUGCUCAAACCUACAUGUGAAGUAAAUUGGCCGGAUCACCAGUUCUCCGUUUGUUGGAAAAUGAUAGGUACCUCAAAUUAUUUUCUCAAAAAUGUUUUUAAACAAGUGAUGUAUCAAUUUAAGAUGAUUAAUUUGGUGAUUAGGUUGAUGUAGCUGCAGGAUCCAUGUGGCUGAUACCUGAUCAGACGUGAAAUGUGGAAAAAAAAUUUGGAUA